AGAGCGAACGCUGGCGGCAGGCCUAACACACGCAAGUCGAACGGACCCUUCGGGGUUAGUGGCGGACGGGUGAGUAACACGUGGGAACGUGCCUUUAGGUUCGGAAUAGCUCCUGGAAACGGGUGGUAAUGCCGAAUGUGCCCUUCGGGGGAAAGAUUUAUCGCCUUUAGAGCGGCCCGCGUCUGAUUAGCUUGUUGGUGGGUAAUGGCCCACCAAGGCUACGAUCAGUAGCUGGUCUGAGAGGAUGACCAGCCACAUUGGGACUGAGACACGGCCCAAACUCCUACGGGAGGCAGCAGUGGGGAAUCUUGCGCAAUGGGCGAAAGCCUGACGCAGCCAUGCCGCGUGUAUGAUGAAGUCUUAGGAUUGUAAAAUACUUUCACCGGUGAAGAUAAUGACUGUAGCCGGAGAAGAACGCCCGGAUAACUUCGUAGCCAGCAGCCGC
rnacentral:rRNA from 1 species